rnacentral:rRNA from 1 species
GCUGGCGGCAGGCCUAACACAUGCAAGUCGAGCGGCCGUAGCAAUACGGCAGCGGCAGACGGGAGAGUAACACGUGGGAACGCGCCCUUCGGUUCGGAAUAACUCAGGGAAACUUGAGCUAAUACCGGAUACGCCCUUACGGGGAAAGAUUCAUCGCCGAAGGAACGGCCCGCGUCCGAUUAGCUAGUUGGUGAGGUAAUGGCUCACCAAGGCAACGAUCGGUAGCUGGUCUAAGAGGAUGAUCAGCCUCACUGGGACUGAGACACGGCCCAGACUCCUACGGGAGGCAGCAGUGGGGAAUAUUGGACAAUGGGCGCAAGCCUGAUCCAGCCAUGCCGCGUGGGUGAUGAAGGCCCUAGGGUUGUAAAGCCCUUUCGGCGGGGAAGAUAAUGACGGUACCCGCAGAAGAAGCCCCGGCUAACUUCGUGCCAGCAGCCGCGGUAAUACGAAGGGGGCUAGCGUUGCUCGGAAUUACUGGGCGUAAAGCGCACGU